rnacentral:ncRNA from 2 species
AUCGAACAAUUGGCAGCAGAUGUCAGGGAAGCAGGUGAGAAUCCUGCACAGUUCCGCUACCGUGUCGGGGAGCACCAUACACAUGCCACUGGAAUGUUUCGUUCCGGGAAGGCGUAUGGUCCGCGGAGAGCCGAAGUCGGGAUACCGGUCUGCUGCUUUGGAAUAGA